rnacentral:rRNA from 1 species
AUUGAACGCUGGCGGCAGGCCUAACACAUGCAAGUCGAGCGAGCGGCGGACGGGUGAGUAAUGUCUGGGAAACUGCCUGAUGGAGGGGGAUAACUACUGGAAACGGUAGCUAAUACCGCAUACCAUCAGAUGUGCCCAGAUGGGAUUAGCUAGUAGGUGGGGUAACUGCUCACCUAGGCGACGAUCCCUAGCUGGUCUGAGAGGAUGACCAGCCACGCUGGAACUGAAACACGGUCCAGAUUCCUAGGGGAGGCAGCAGUGGGGAACAUUGCACAAUGGGGGCAAGCCUGAGGCAGCCAGGCCGCGUGUGUGAAGAAGGCCUUCGGGUUGUAAAGCACUUUCAGCGGGGAGGCGUUACCCGCAGAAGAAGCACCGGCUAACUCCGUGCCAGCAGCCGCGGUAAUAC